rnacentral:rRNA from 1 species
AUUGAACGCUGGCGGCAGGCCUAACACAUGCAAGUCGAGCGGAUGAAGGGAGCUUGCUCCUGGAUUCAGCGGCGGACGGGUGAGUAAUGCCUAGGAAUCUGCCUGGUAGUGGGGGAUAACGUCCGGAAACGGGCGCUAAUACCGCAUACGUCCUGAGGGAGAAAGUGGGGGAUCUUCGGACCUCACGCUAUCAGAUGAGCCUAGGUCAGAUUAGCUAGUUGGUGGGGUAAAGGCCUACCAAGGCGACGAUCCGUAACUGGUCUGAGAGGAUGAUCAGUCACACUGGAACUGAGACACGGUCCAGACUCCUACGGGAGGCAGCAGUGGGGAAUAUUGGACAAUGGGCGAAAGCCUGAUCCAGCCAUGCCGCGUGUGUGAAGAAGGUCUUCGGAUUGUAAAGCACUUUAAGUUGGGAGGAAGGGCGGUAAGUUAAUACCUUGCUGUUUUGACGUUACCAACAGAAUAAGCACCGGCUAACUUCGUG